AAACAGUUCAAUCAAUCAUAAGUUAAUGUUCUUGUUUCACAUAAACCCUGCCAGCUCCUAUCAUGUUUUCCCAUCUACAGAUAUUACAAUUAUUGCUGACAAACCACAUCUCACGUACAAUAAACUUGUCAGUGUCACUGGUCUAAUAAAUUAUUACUUAAGUCAGCCUCCAAACUAUACUUCUUCUGAUUACUUGGAAUGAGUGCAGCAUGUGAUUACAUAGAAGUUCAGACUUACCACAUUCCACUUUUCGCAUUUUGGUUGGUUAAACACACUCAUACCAGUUCUUGCUUUCACGCAGCUGAUAUUCUCUGAUAGUAAUUGCAUACCCAUUGAAGAAUAUCCAAAAAUUACAUCCAAUGCUCAUAACAUUUAAAGAGUAAAGAGAGCAUAUGAUCACAAAAAGCAUUAGAUUUUCCAUAAACACUGGUGAAUAGUAACAGUUGAUACGGGUGGUGAAGAAUUUAUUUACGGAAUGAUGAUAUCAAGUCAAUCUAAUGGCUCCAAUUAGAAGGUCACCUGAGCAAGUGUUGCUCUGAUCCAGUGACGAUGGAGCUGAAAGUUUUGGCUCUAAAUCAGGUGGUGCACAUUCAACAUUACGAUUAUUUGUUGAAACAAAACAAGUAGGUUGAGAGUUGAAAGCUUCAGUACUUAACCAUAUAGGCAAUGUGGAAUGUUGAUGAUCAAAAGGAGAAGCUUCUGUCGCCUUCAUUGCAAACCCAGCACCAUAAAUAUUACUGUUACUUUCUGUUAGCUUGGAAACGUUCAGGGAUUGAAUUGAAGAUUGGCCAUUGCCCAUAUCAAAGAGGCUAGGACGGCGUUUUCUUUUGUUAAGGCUGUUUUGUCUGAGAAAAUAUUUCUGUGCAUGACUGGCAACUUGGGUUGGAGUUCUUGUGGUGACAAAGUUCUUGGAAAUACCGAUCCAAUCGCCCUUCCCUAGCUUUUGGAGCCCUAAUAGAAAGAUCCUGUGCUCCUCUUCGCUCCAUGGCACACCCUUCUUCCUUUCUUGGGGUUGCCCAAGCAGACCAUCAGAGAGAUAACCUUUAGAGAAUUUAUCAAUAUUUUCUCCCACAGUGAUUAGCGAAGAUCUAGAACAAGUUGAAGAAGAUGAUGUUGAUGAGGAUGACAAGCAUUCUACACUAAAAAUCUUCCUCAAUUCAGCAAG
rnacentral:misc_RNA from 1 species